UACGGGGGGCAAGCGUUGUUCGGAAUUACUGGGCGUAAAGGCUCGUAGGCGGCCAACUAAGUCAGACGUGAAUCCCUCGGCUUAACCGGGAACUGCGUCUGAUACUGGAUGGCUUGAGAUUGGGAGAGGGAUGCGGAAUUCCAGGUGUAGCGGUGAAAUGCGUAGAUAUCUGGAGGAACACCGGUGGCGAAGGCGGCAUCCUGGACCAACACUGGCGCUGAGGAGCGAAAGCCAGGGAGCAACGG
rnacentral:rRNA from 1 species